GCAAUUCGCUGCAUCUAGUGACAUACACAUCAUUCUUGUGGAUUCUGUUGCUGUAUAAAGAAGAUUCUUAAGACCAUUGUUCACAGGGAUUAUAUUUAAUGCCAGGGAUAGUGACACUCUCACUAUGUCUGUAUGUCAUGAUCACUUUUGCAGAGAUUAUUUCCUGUGAGAAACCAUUCAAUAACACUCUCACAAUAACAUCAGUUUCUUUGUUUGUUCUGAUGGAUAUAAACUGCCAUAGCAACCAUAAUUUUGUUGUUAACAAGAAGCCUACAUCCAUUACCUAAAAGCCUAAAACCAUUACCCAGGAACCUACAGCCAUUACUCAGGAGCCUACGAUCAUUACCCAGAAGCCUACCACCAUAACCCUACGACCAUAACGCAGAACCCUACCACUAUUACCCAGCAGACUACAACCAUUACCCAGCAGACUACAACCAAUACCUAGAAGCCUAUAACCAUUACCCAGAAUACUACCAACAUAACCGAGAACCAUAAGCCCAUCACGCAGGAGCCUACAACCUUUACCAAGGUGACUACCACCAAUACCUAGAAGCCUAUAACCAUUACCCAGAAGACUACCACCAUUAGCUAAAGACUAACACCAUUACACAGAAGCCUACCACCACUACCCAGAACACUACCACCAUAACCGACAACCCUUAGACCGUCACGCAGGAACCUACAAUCAUUACUUAGGAGGAGCCAAUGACCACUACUUGUGUGGGAAAUACAGUACAAUAGAGACAAUCACAAAAGUUUUGUCCAUUUGGAUAACAGAUGCAAGAGAGGUUUAGUCAUCAACGUUUCCAAAGGAGAGGGACUAAUGUAACACUAGUUCUAUCAGCAUUGUUGUGGACCAGUGGAGUGCUGACACAACUUUGAUAGUCUAGUGCAAUUACAGUAACCUAACAUGGAACACUGACUUAUAUAACAGCACAUUUUCACACCUGUUGAAUCCCGACAAAAGAAGUGCCCAUUACCCAGAAGUUUGAAUCCCGACAAAAGAAGUGCCCAUUACCCAGAAGUUUGAAUCCCGACAAAAGAAGUGCCCAUUACCCAGAAGCCUACAACUGAUACCUUGGAUCCAACAAUAAAACACUGCUGCGUACAUAUUAAAGAUACAUUACCCAGGAGCCAAUGUACAUUAUCCAGGAGCCCAUGACCAUAACUCUGGCGUCCAUGACCAUUACCCCGGAGCCUAUAACCUUUAUCAAGGAACCAAGGACAAAUAUCCAAGAGCUAAGUGUUGUGACUUGACUCGCUGAUACAGUAGCAUAAUUUCUUAAAUUCAUCAAUGAAAGUGCAUUUCCACAGGGAUUUUAUGGAGAAGAUUAAAUUAUAAGGAAUAAGUUAAACUUGCUCGUAACAAGCAUUUUCAUCGACUCAAGAAGUUUGUGUUGGUUCAGUUUUUCUCUUUUAACUGCCGGAUAUAGUAGUGUAAUAAUUUCUAAAAGAAGGGAGAUAUUUCAUCAAGGAUUGUGUACAACAGUUGAAAUCAGCAAAUUAAAUUAUAAGGAUUAAUUUUAAUAUAUUUUAAUGUUAAGAAUCUACAACAAAAAUAACUGUAGUGUACUCCCAUCAUAAACUGCUGUUUUUUUUUUUUUUUUUUUUUUGUGUUUUCAAAUCAAUCUUUAAACCAAUGAUCAUUUUUCAGGAAAUGGUGACCAUUGUUCAGGAGCCAAUUAACAUUAUCUUGGGAGCAGGUGACUAUUACCCAGGAGCCCAUAAUAAAACCUAGCAGCAGACAUAUUAGAGGAGCUGAUGACCAUUACCCAGGACCGGACAAUAAAACCAGGCAGCAGAUACAUCCAACAUCAGGAGGUAUCCAUAAAUCCCCUACAGCAUCCCAUUUAGGGGAACACUAGGACAGGGGGGAGGGGAA